AUCAUGGAGAAAAGAUUUUAAAGGGUUUUUUUAUGUUUUAUUUGAUGAUUAAUUAAGGCUAGAUUAAUAUAUAAACUAGGUAAAAAUAUCGAGGUGGAAUUCAAAUUCUAGAUGUAAGGGUUAUUAAUCUAAGUGUCUAACCGUUGGGCCAAAUUGAGUUUACUAACUGAGUCCUCUAUUGACUUCUUUAUAUCCGGACCUCUCAUGUCCACAGGCUCGUGUAAUCGAGCUACGACUUAGGCCUGCGCCAAGCCCGAAUCCUUAUAUAGCGCUAAGCCCAUUCUUCGACUACAUCCGGGUCCGAUCCGAUCUGAUUUCUUAACUCGGUUAACCCUAAGGAUCCUAAUCCUUUCCACUCACUUAUCGGUCACCACCAUCUUCUCUCGAAAGCUCCUUGUCCUUCGUGACCUAGCCACAACUUCCAUCUCCUAUCGAGGUCUCGUUUCCUCUCGAUCCAUUCCUCUAUCUCAAUCGACAGGCGAACUCAGCUUGAUGAUGACAACCACCACCUCCUCUUCCCUUUUCCAGCGCGACGACUAUGACGACAGAAACGAUCUCGUCCCUCCAGUCGACGAGAUCGGCUCCACGAUGGCCGCCACGGUUUUUUUCCUUCUCCAUUGGUUCGUAUGUUCUCCGAUCCCGACUCCGCAAGGUGGCUCCUCCACCAGAUCCUAAUCUUUGAUCAAUCCUUCUCCACGUCGUCUUCUUGAUAUUCGCCGGGGGGGGGGGGGGGGGCGGGUGGGCUCCGUCGGGAGUUGCGGGCAGCACCGGACGGCAGUCGCCGCGACCGCGUUGGGCGAGCAUAGCCGUUACGCCCACGCCCCCCCCCCCCCCAUAACCUAAGGUAAAUUCGAUAUGCUCCUUCUCUAUUUUCUAGCGUCGAUUAUUGAUUUACCGGCUCAUAAGCCUACGUUUCUUGUCCUGUCUACCUUGGCUGGGACACCGUAUUCCGAAAUCGGCCUCCACCCUGAGGCAACAACUUGGUGAAAUCUAAAAGGCUAGCGAUGAAGGUAAAGUUUCCUACUGUGAUUUUAUUCACAUAAACCUAGAGUUUUAAAUGUCUUUUUCUAAAGGAAUUAUAAUCUCAUAAAGCCCAAACUAUGGUCUUUUCGUAAAAGAACGACACCACUUUUUUGAAAUAUAAAAUAUCGCAUACUUUUUUAUCAACAUAUGGCCUUUUUGUAAAAAUAAUGACACCACAUUUUUGAAAUAUAAAAUAUGGCAUAGUUUUGGACCAACCUAUGACCUUUUCGUAAAAAAAUGACACCACUUUUUUGAAAUAUAAAAUAUGGCAUACUUUUGGACGGAGAAUGUUCUUCGCAAGAUUUGACUGUUAAUUUAGAUGGAAUUUGUAACACCGUGAUGACGUCUUCAAGCUGAACAGUCCACAUCAGCAUCUGUAUAGUCCACGUCUACUGCGUGGGAAGUGUCCACGUCGAUUUAUGGGUUAGAAAGAAAGAUUCGAUCCAAUCCGAAUCUUAUCCAUUAUCAAUUCAACCACGAUUUCUCUUUACAGUUUUUUUUUCUUUUUUUUUGUUUGGGAUGAGCACUAACAGAUGAUCUUCUUUUCCUUUCUUGCGAGGUUAUCAGUGGAGUUUGGGAUCCGAGACUUGGUCAUUACAAGGGUGGUGGUAUUUCAAUGAGGCCGAAAGUUCGAGUUUGUAGAAUGAGGGUUUAAGUAAUGGAAUUUUGAGUGAGAUUUAGAUGAGGUUUCAGGGGAGGCCGAGAGAGUAGAAUGUAGUUGUGAGAGGACUGUGAUUUGUGGAUGGGUGUGAUUUGGGUUUGUAAUUAAUUAUAUAACUUUUUUGGUGUAUUUUUCAUUUUCUUUCUGAAUCCCUAAAUGACGCCUUACUAUUCAAAUUAGUAUUCAAAUUAGAAGAUGCUCUAAGUUAAGUGAAUUAUUAAAUUAUCCUUCAAUAAAUUUGGAAAAUUUAUAUCAAUUUUAAUCUUCGA
rnacentral:lncRNA from 1 species